UACGGAGGGUGCAAACGUUGCUCGGAAUUAUUGGGCGUAAAGCGCACGUAGGCGGCUCGUUAAGUCGGGUGUGAAAGCCCAGGGCUCAACCCUGGAAGUGCACUCGAAACUGGCGAGCUUGAAUAUGGAAGAGGGUCGCGGAAUUCCCGGUGUAGAGGUGAAAUUCGUAGAUAUCAGGAGGAACACCAGCGGUGUAGACGGCUUUCUGGACCAUUGCUGACGCUGAGACACGAAAGCGUGGGUAGCAAACAGG
rnacentral:rRNA from 1 species